GGGGGGCGUUUGCGUUUUUAUACAGACCACCGCAUGUGUAGAAUGUCUUACUAUUUGCGAUAACACGCAAUCAAUACAACUUUCAACAACGGAUCUCUUGGCUCUCGCAUCGAUGAAGAACGCAGCGAAAUGCGAUACGUAAUGUGAAUUGCAGAAUUCAGUGAAUCAUCGAAUCUUUGAACGCACCUUGCGCCCCUUGGAAUUCCGAGGGGCACACCCGUUUGAGUGUCGUGAACAUCCUUCAACCUUUCUUGGUUUCUUGACCGGGGAAGGCUUGGACUUUGGGGGUUUUUCAUUGCUGGCCUCCCUUGAAGCCAGCUCCUCCUAAAUGGAUUAGUGGGGUCUGCUUUGCCGAUCCUUGACGUGAUAAGAUGUUUCUACGUCUUGGGUUUCGCACUGUCGCUUCAGACCCCGCUUCAAACAGUCUUGCAUCUAAGACAGAGUUUUAUAAACCUUGACCUCAAAUCGGGUGAGACUACCCGCUGAACUUAAGCAUAUCAAUAAGCGGAGGAAAAGAAACUAACAAGGAUUCCCCUAGUAACUGCGAGUGAAGCGGGAAAAGCUCAAAUUUAAAAUCU
rnacentral:rRNA from 1 species